UAAUAUACUAUUUUAGUGUGGAGUGAAUGCCUUGGAAGAAAAAUAUAGGCGCGGACAAUCGCGAAAGUGUUGACACGAGGAAAGCCUGUGACGUCAACCAACCUAAAAUGGGAAACCGGGGCUAAAAAGCCCGCUGCUUAGGCAGUAUCAAGGGGAAGUGAAACAUCUCAGUACCCUGUAGACCAAAUCAACCGAGAUAUCGUUAGUAGUGGUGAGCGAAAGCGAUAAAAAGGCAAAACGAAAAUUUUAUUAUUAAGAAUGAAAAGAAGUUUUGUUUUUCAAUGAAAUUUCUACCUUAGAAGGUGUUAGUCCUGUAAUUCUUUUUUUUUUCGUGAAAGUAAGACGAGGCAAGUUUACCUUGUCUGAGUAUUGGGGGACCACCCUCAAAGCCUAUAGUUAUUUUUCUUACCGAUAGUGAACAAGUACCGUGAGGGAAAGGUGAAAAAGAAGUUGCGACAGUGCAAAGAUCCUGAAACUCCAUAUUUGAGUCGGAGCUAUAAAAAGCAACGGCAUACCUUUUGUAUAAUGGGCAAGUGAAUCUUAAUAAAGGGCAAGCUUAAGCUAAUAAAAGUGUAGGCGAAGAGAAAUCGAGUCCUAUGUGGCAUCCUAAAGUCCUUUGUUAAGUACCCGAAACCGGCUGAUCUAAACUUGAGCAGGCUGAUAUUGUAGUGGCAACAUUCUUUGGAGGGCCGAACCCGUGUAUGUGGCAAAAUACUGGGAUGACUUGAGUUUAGGGGUGAAAGGCCAAUCAAAGUCGGUGAUAGCUGGAUUUCUGCGAAAUCUAUUGAAGUAGAGCGUCCUAAACAGUAAAUCUGGGGUAGAGCACUGUAUAAGCAAGGGGGAGAUCUUCUCUUACUAAACUUUGGCAAACUCCGAAUACAGAUUUUUCAUUUAGGGCAGACAGAGUAUGUAUGCUAAGAUUCAUACUCAAGAGGGAAACAGCCCAGACUGUAGGCUAAGGUCCACAAAAUAGUUUCAGUGGUAAAGGUGAUAUCUGCUCUGAGACCGUCAGGAGGUAGGCUUGGAAGCAGCCAUCCUUUUAAGACAGCGUAACAGCUCACUGACCUAGAGUAGAAGUCCCGCCAAUUUUGAGGGCUUAAAACUAUUACCGAAGCCUCAGACAAAAAUGUUAAGAUAAUUAAAAACUCUUAUAUUUUGUGGUAGCAGAACAUUCCGUAGGUCGUAGAAGUUUUGACGUAAGUUAAGAUCAAGAUAUCGGAAGCGAGAAUACUUGCAUGAGUAGCAUAAAACAAUGAAAUUAAAGCAUUGUGGCCGUAAGUCCAAGGUUUACGAUCUUAAGUAAAACUGGGUCGUGAGAGGGUAACACCUCGAUUUAAAACGGUCCCUAAGCUGUUAAGCCAAAGCUUGCAGUAAUGGGUAAGAUUAAACUGUUAAAAGUUGCUGACGAAAAAUUCACCUUAUUCUUGAAUUUGUCAAGAGUGAGUUAUUUUUUCCAAGAAAAAGGCACUUUAUUUAUACCGUACCUUAAACCGCCUCAGGUGGACGGGUGGAGAACACUAAGGCCUUGAGAUAACCCUGUUGAAGGAACUCGGCAAAAUGACUCUGUAACUUCGGAAUAAGGAGUAAAGACAUGUAGCGCAAGCUUUUGUCUUUGUCACAAAAUCGGGGGUGGCGACUGUUUAUUAAAAACACAGGUCUCUGCUAACUCGCAAGAGGAUGUAUAGGGACUGACACCUGCCCGGUGCCGGUAGGUGAAGCUUUGAUGUUUACGCAUUGAGGUCAAACCCCGGUAAACGGCGGCUGUAACUAUGACGGUCCUAAGGUAGCGAAAUUCCUUGUCGGGUAAGUUCCGACCCGCAUGAAUGGUGUAACGACUUCCCCGCUGUCUCCAACAGGGACUCAGUGAAAUUACAUAGGUCGUGAAGAUGCGACCAUCCCACAGCUGGACGGAAAGACCCCGUGCACCUUUACUAUAAGCAAAUAUUGUAGGUCAAAGACUCUAGUGUAGAAUAGGUGGGAGCUUAUGAUUCUUUCUCGUCAGAGUCUGAUGAGGCGAUAGUGAAAUACCACCCCGAGAUCUGUUGGCUUACUAACUAAGGGACAGUGUUUGCUGGGUAGUUUGACUGGGGCGGUCGCCUCCUAAAGAGUAACGGAGGCAUACAAAGGUAGGUUCAUCUCCUUCUAAGGGGAAUUGAGUAUAAUGGUAUAAACCUGCUUGACUGAAAGAAAGACAUUUCGAUCAGAGACGUAAGUCGGUCAUAGUGAUCCGGUGGUUCUUUGUGGAAAGGCCAUCGCGCAAUGGAUAAAAGGUACGCCGGGGAUAACAGGCUAAUGAUCCUCUAGAGCCCCUAUCGACGGGUUCGUUUGGCACCUCGAUGUCGACUCAUCACAUCCUGGAGCUGGAAAAGGUUCCAAGGGUUCGGCUGUUCGCCGACGAAAGUGGUACGUGAGUUGGGUUUAGAACGUCGUGAGACAGUUUGGUCCCUAUCUUCUGUGGGUGUUUGAAAAUUCCGAGGACUAGACCUUAGUACGAGAGGACCGGGAAAACUCGAUCCCUUGUGUUCCGGUUGUUCCCUAAGGGGCAUCGCCGGGUAGCUACAUCGAGAAGAGAUAAUCGACCGUUAGGCGAGAAACUCUCCUCUAGUAAAGUUUUCUAAAGGGGGUGGAAGAUUACCACUUUGAUAGGCGGGAGGUGUAAGAGCUGUAAGGUUUUCAGCUGACCCGUACUAAUCCCUAUAAAAAUAAAAUUAUAUAGUUUUUGC
rnacentral:rRNA from 1 species